rnacentral:rRNA from 1 species
UACGUAGGGGGCAAGCGUUGUCCGGAAUCAUUGGGCGUAAAGCGCGCGUAGGUGGCCAUUUAAGUCCGCUGUGAAAGUCAGAGGCUCAACCUUUGAAAGCCGGUGGAUACUGGAUGGCUAGAGUACGGAAGAGGCGAGUGGAAUUCCUGGUGUAGCGGUGGAAUGCGCAGAUAUCAGGAGGAACACCGGUGGCGAAGGCGGGUCUCUGGGCAGUUACUGACGCUGAGGAGCGAAAGCGUGGGGAGCGAACAGG